CUUGGCUUGUUCCAAAAUCUAACGAGCCAAGCUAGAAUUUUAGCUCAUUUAGAUAACGAGCUGGCACGAGUCAGCUCCAAACGAGCUAGUUUCACAGUGAUCUUCAGUUUACUCAUGGGUCAUCUUCAUCUUCGAUGAAGAGACUCCUCGUCAGCUUACUUUGCUUUCUAUUGAACUAGUAGCCUCAUGAGCUGGCCGAGCCAGCUGGGUCGUUAUCCAGCCCAGACCAAAGGAAAUGGAACAAUGCUGAAGAAAGCAAAGGGCUUAGACAGAUCUGUAUACUAGGAAAUGAAGGAAAAUGGAACAUGUCUCUCCCAUGUUCUUGCGCCUCAGUAGAUCAGAGGGGUCCCAUGCUGCUCUGGUCAUCUGAUGCCUUUAACUUCUAUUGUAGCUUCAGAGGGAGGGAUCCAAUUGAUGGAGGCUCCGGCGACCUGUGCUCUCGGGGGCGCCAUGUUCAAGCUUCCCGGGAGGCUCGAUGGGAUACUGCACCGUGGCUACAUGCUGCCCAAGGGCGCAGAGGAAGAGAUUUCGCUCACGCUUUUUGAGUCAAAUCGUGAAAUCUUCUCUUACGCUUUUUAAAGUGUGACUUAUUAUCGUUUGCUUUGACAUCAAGCAAGCAUCCCGAUAUUGACGCGUGUACUUCAUUUUGCGAUCUUGAUCAUCGGUAAGUCUCUUCCUCUCGAGCCUCCUUGUCACUUGCACCGGUAUCCCUUCGCUUGACUUUGUCAGCAUGCUAUCUUCAUCAUUCCUUCCAUACUUUGUUUGGUCUCUAUGUGCACAGCUAGGAUCAUCCUUGACUCGGCCUGACCUCUUUGAUCGUCCGGCACCAAGCACCCCACUUGGUCCUGAUCAUCCCACCGUCGACCGUCAAGUCGCAUCCAUCACAUACACAGCAUGAGACAAG